UGAGUAACCUGCCCUAGGCUUUGGGAUAACCCUCGGAAACGGGGGCUAAUACUGGAUAUUCCCGCGGGAUCGCAUGGUUUUGUGGGGAAAGGUUUUCCGGCUUGGGAUGGGCUCGCGGCCUAUCAGCUUGUUGGUGGGGUGAUGGCCUACCAAGGCGACGACUGGUAGCCGGCCUGAGAGGGCGACCGGCCACACUGGGAUUGAGACACGGCCCAGACUCCUACGGGAGGCAG
rnacentral:rRNA from 1 species